CUUUGUUAUUUGCAUACAUUUCACAAUUUUGUGCUUUCUUCUUUUGCUUUUGUAUGCAUUUAAUAGAGGUCCCUUCAUCUAUGCCAGUAGUCGAUAUAUGAUAACUAGCAGCAGCAAUGAGGAUCCUACCACUGCAGUUAAUGUAGAGGCCAAGUUAACCAAUGAAGAUUCUCCUAUAACCAAUCAAGAGGCCAAGUUAAAAUGGUUCUUGAGUUUUCUCAUGCAUGAAUGAGAGAAUCCUCUAUGAAGAUUAAGAGAAAGAUUAAGAUGUUUGGAUAUAUUCUUGAAGGCAGUGGCUAUAGCACCUUGCCUUCUCUUUUUUCAUGAAUUUGAUUCCAUUGUGCUGAAGAGGGGGCAUGAUAGUACAGGGGUCACCAACCAUGUCAUCAAUCAUUUUUUACCGAAUCAGAUGGUGUUGAAGUUUUAAGCGGUGUGUUUGUGUUGGCUGGAACAAGUUGCUAAAGUAGCUUACAAGAAGUGUAGUAAACUGGUCUUGAGCCUCUUGAACAACAUCAAUGGAUGUCGAUCAUUUCAGUUUUGAGUGUGCCAAAAUCUUGUCAACUCAUCCUCAUUGACUGCCCAAAGCUCAAUAGAGAUGGAUAAGAGUCUUGGAAUGCAGUCAACUAUUCCUAUUGAAAUGUCUUCAGAUGUAACGGUGGGGAUCUACAUGAGCAACUUAAAGUUGUUUGCCGGCCAAAGUUUGUGUGGUUAAUAGUCUUAUUCUGCUUAGGCAUUCAAUGGGUUAAUGUAUUGAGCAUUGACCUUAGCUUUUGUUUGCUGAAGUACUUAUUUUUCAAUACUCAUAUUUAGCUUAAUCAAAGUUCAUAAUUUGUUUCAUAGACCUUGGUAAAUCAAUCAAGUAGUGGACAUGUUGGGGGACUAAAACUUGAAAGAUCUGCGACUUCCUUUCAUAUUCUCGAGUGUGCUUCCCACAUACUUCACAUUGUUUGAUCGCUUAAUUCACUUUUUCUUGGUGGAUGAGGAAUUCAUUAUUUUGUUGGAAAAGGGAGUAGCUCCUUGUACUCAACACGUGUGAGGAUCCUAUUAUUGUUUUAUGAGUGUCUUCCCCGAUUGAGUAUCUAGACGAGCAAUACUAAUCUCUGUCAUAGGUUCCUAAGUGUCUGUUUCCCAUUGGGUGCCUUACUUUUCAUGUAACAUCAAAGUCAUUAUAUGGUGGUGAGUUGUCUAAUCCUCUUUUUGCUGAUCGACAAUGUAGUGAAGGGAGCUUGUGGUUAGACUCUGCAAAAUUUCAAUGAGAUAAUGGGAUUGCUUGAGAUUUUGGGGUUUAACUACCUAACAUUGUUUCCCUGAUGCAUUCUUGUAAGUGAGCUAAAUUAUGCAUGGAUUUUAUUCAAGGAAGCUUGUAUAACUGCAUUGAUUGUGUCUGAUCUCUCUCUAUCUCUCUGUCUCUUUGUCUCUGUCUCUGUCUCUGUCUCUGUCUCUCUAUCUCUCUGUCUCUCUCUCUCUCUCUCUCUCUGUGCUAAUAAUGUGGUUAAUAUUAACUUGUUAAAUAAAAUUAUUUGAUCUUCAUAUCUAUCAUUCUUACCUUUGCUGAUGAAGUGUUUUUGUGCAAGCUCCUCAAAGGCCAUGGUCAAAUGUUCUUUUACAUGGACGUACGGCCUUUGGCAAGACAUGCAUUGUUAGUGCAGCAAUAGCAGCUUGUUCUCUUCAAUCCAUAUCAGUGAAAGGGCUGAACUGUUGGAUAAGUACAUUGGAACUUCUGAGCAAGCUGUAAGAGGCUUCUUUUCAACUACAGCGAUGUUGAUUGAAUUCCAUUGUGCAAUCUCACAUCUAAAUUUGUUAUCAACUCCAUGUCUAUAUCAAAUGCCAAGCAAAAAUAACUGAUUUUGAGAAGUGGUUAGACAUAGUCGCUACUCUGCAGGCCAAGAAGAGUUCUGAUAAGGUUUGUUGUCUCGCACAACUCUUUCUUCUGACUGUGUAAACUAGUCAAGAUUUGGAUUGGGUAUUGUUCAAUUCCAUGGUCACCAUCUUAUUUGCGGCUCUUUGACAGAUCCAUGUCCUGAGGAGAUUUAGUCCAACAACAACAUAAUAAGUGGGUGACCUGAGGAUUCUCAUUGACUUUGCUAUAUCUAGUAUUGAUUUGUCUGCAUCCUUCUUUUUUCUUUUUGUAUAUUGGCUAUUUUAAAUCACUCCCAAGGCAAUCGCUAGUGGUGCCAUAUGGUUCCAUGUGGUUUUCAUCUUAUAAGCGGCUAAUAUCCCUUGCCUUCUUUAGAUAGAGUCCUUCCCCGUCUCUUUCAUACCAACUAACUAGCAUGCAAGAACUGUAGUUUGACAAUCUUGUUCUCGUCUGUUCACUAGUCUCUGCGCAAGUGGUGAAUUGUACAUCCCAAUACUUUCUGCCAUCAACAAAGUUUCCUGCUCGUGUGCUGUCAUUUGCAUAUCUCUAUAGUGAACAAGAAUCUGCUAGAAUUAUCUUGCACUAGUCCUUCAUAAAACCAACUACGAGGUAGCCAGGCAUCUCAGCCUCUCUGCCAAAACACAGAGCGUGCAAGUAGUACUAUGUCCUCCCUUCAUCUCUCCUACCUCGAUCUGUCUCUACACUGAGGUUUUCUCCCUCAAAUAGGCUACAACCUUUAAACCCCCCUUGGCAAUGUUGCAUAAAUAAGGUGUGCUAUCUCUCUCAAUGCAAAAAUCUAGGAUUUGAAUUGAUCAAUCAUUUCAAAUUGGGGCACCUUGAUGCAACAAUUACUUAACCUCACCACUCCAUUCGACCAUAGAGAUAUCCUCUUUUUUAGGCUCUAGAUUAUUUGAUACUGAACUAGGAACCUGCAUUAUGAUUGAAGUAAACUGGCUGAUUGGAAAGCUCCCAUUUUUUGGCAUUCACCUUUCCAACCUGCAAGUUUGUACUUGGGUAGCUCAAUUGUUGGAUCCCAAAUUGUUUUUGACCCAAGAGGAAUGUUUAGAUGUGCUAUAGCAAAGUGACCUCUUAUCGAGCAUGCCAUUAUAUGUGGGCAACGAGCAUGUGUCCAUAUUACUGAAAGAUUGAACUGUAGCCUUAGAACUGGAAUUUAAGAUUGAAAUUCAAGCUAAAU